rnacentral:snRNA from 1 species
GGAUGUGAGGGCACUCUGGCUUUGACAUCUGUCACCCUAUUGAUGGCCAGAGUUGAUUUGGCUGAUCUGGCUGGAGAGACAGGUGGCUCCUUCCUACCUCACGUUCCAUGUGUGUCCUUCCCGAAGCUGCAAGCUCAGUUGAAGAGGACGACCUUCCCUGAAUAGAGGAUCGGCCUUGGAUCAAGGGUAUGUGAGUAGCUGCACUCCCCUGCUUGAACCUCCAAACAAGCUCUCAAGGUCCAAAACAAACAAACAAACAAAUAAAAACCUACAGAGACAUCUCCUAAUAAGUAGUUACUGAGGUAGAU